GUCGAGCGGACAGAAGGGAGCUUGCUCCCGGAUGUUAGCGGCGGACGGGUGAGUAACACGUGGGUAACCUGCCUGUAAGACUGGGAUAACUCCGGGAAACCGGAGCUAAUACCGGAUAGUUCCUUGAACCGCAUGGUUCAAGGAUGAAAGACGGUUUCGGCUGUCACUUACAGAUGGACCCGCGGCGCAUUAGCUAGUUGGUGGGGUAAUGGCUCACCAAGGCGACGAUGCGUAGCCGACCUGAGAGGGUGAUCGGCCACACUGGGACUGAGACACGGCCCAGACUCCUACGGGAGGCAGCAGUAGGGAAUCUUCCGCAAUGGACGAAAGUCUGACGGAGCAACGCCGCGUGAGUGAUGAAGGUUUUCGGAUCGUAAAGCUCUGUUGUUAGGGAAGAACAAGUGCGAGAGUAACUGCUCGCACCUUGACGGUACCUAACCAGAAAGCCACGGCUAACUACGUGCCAGCAGCCGCGGUAAUACGUAGGUGGCAAGCGUUGUCCGGAAUUAUUGGGCGUAAAGGGCUCGCAGGCGGUUUCUUAAGUCUGAUGUGAAAGCCCCCGGCUCAACCGGGGAGGGUCAUUGGAAACUGGGAAACUUGAGUGCAGAAGAGGAGAGUGGAAUUCCACGUGUAGCGGUGAAAUGCGUAGAGAUGUGGAGGAACACCAGUGGCGAAGGCGACUCUCUGGUCUGUAACUGACGCUGAGGAGCGAAAGCGUGGGGAGCGAACAGGAUUAGAUACCCUGGUAGUCCACGCCGUAAACGAUGAGUGCUAAGUGGUUUAGGGGGUUUCCGCCCCUUAGUGCUGCAGCUAACGCAUUAAGCACUCCGCCUGGGGGAGUACGGUCGCAAGACUGAAACUCAAAGGAAUUGACGGGGGCCCGCACAAGCGGUGGAGCAUGGUGGUUUAAUUCGAAGCAACGCGAAGAACCUUACCAGGUCUUGACAUCCUCUGACAACCCUAGAGAAUAGGGCUUUCCCUUCGGGGACAGAGUGACAGGUGGUGCAUGGUUGUCGUCAGCUCGUGUCGUGAGAUGUUGGGUUAAGUCCCGCAACGAGCGCAACCCUUGAUCUUAGUUGCCAGCAUUCAGUUGGGCACUCUAAGGUGACUGCCGGUGACAAACCGGAGGAAGGUGGGGAUGACGUCAAAUCAUCAUGCCCCUUAUGACCUGGGCUACACACGUGCUACAAUGGACAGAACAAAGGGCUGCAAGACCGCAAGGUUUAGCCAAUCCCAUAAAUCUGUUCUCAGUUCGGAUCGCAGUCUGCAACUCGACUGCGUGAAGCUGGAAUCGCUAGUAAUCGCGGAUCAGCAUGCCGCGGUGAAUACGUUCCCGGGCCUUGUACACACCGCCCGUCACACCACGAGAGUUUGCAACACCCGAAGUCGGUGAGGUAACCUUUAUGGA
rnacentral:rRNA from 1 species